rnacentral:piRNA from 1 species
UAGGCUUAGGGCUGAUCGAUCUCCCUCUCA